rnacentral:lncRNA from 1 species
UCAGAAUUCUGACCACGGGAUUUAAUAAUUUGACGAGACUAGUACAUCAUGUGCUAUGUUUGAUUAUGUAUUAUACUGAUAGCAAAUCAAAGAGAAAUUAGCACAUUUAUAACCCUACUGAGUUCUUUAGGGAAUGAAAGAUACCGGCUCAGUUUGUCAAGAACAUGUUAACACGCUCGUUGGUCAUUUAUCUGCGAGUACCACCAGGGGGUUAAUUAACAGAUACUUGUUUAUUUUGCGCAUCGCACUAGUAACAUUGAGGUCAAUUUCCUAUCACUUUAAUUGGCCAGUUUUAUUAGCGAAUCGUUGAAUUUGUACGACUCGUCCAAUUAAUGCCAAUGUGACAAUAGCUCCAACCCGUUCCUUCGGUGCGAAGCUAUAGAUAGAACGGCGGACCAGUUUACA